UACGUAGGGUGCGAGCGUUAAUCGGAAUUACUGGGCGUAAAGCGUGCGCAGGCGGUUCGUUAUGUCCGAUGUGAAAGCCCCGAGCUUAACUUGGGAAUGGCAUUGGAAACUGGCGGGCUGGAGUGCGGCAGAGGGGGGUGGAAUUCCACGUGUAGCAGUGAAAUGCGUAGAGAUCUGGAAGAACACCAAAGGCGAAGGCAGCGUCCUGGCGAGUCACUGACGCUCAGGUGCGAAAGCUAGGGGAGCGAACGGG
rnacentral:rRNA from 1 species